CUGUUGUCCAGGCUGGAAUGCAGUAGCACAAUCUUGGCUCACCACAACGUUCACCUCUGGGGUUCAAGUGAUUUCCAUGCGUCAGCCUCCUGAGUGGCUGGGACUCCAGGCAUGCGCUACCACACGUGGCUAAUUUUUUGUAUUUUUCUUUUUUUUUUUAGUAGAGAUGGGGUUUCACCAUGCUGGCCAGGCUGGUCUCGAACUCUUGACCUCAAGUGAUCCACUGCCUCAGCCUCCCAAAGUGCUGGGAUUAUAGACAUUCAUGAUGAAUUCUUAUUUUAUGUUUAAUAUAAAGCAAAU
rnacentral:lncRNA from 10 species